UGAUAAGUCAAGCUUUCAUUGGCCACCUUGGCCCUACCGAGUUGGCUGCUUACUCUAUCACUCUCACCGUUCUCCUCCGUUUCAGUAAUGGAAUCUUGGUGAGUACUCUUCUACUUUCUUGAUUCUACAAUAUUACUACAGAUUAAUUAAGGACAAUCAUAUGAAAAUUAGAUUAGUUCAUCCACAAAUCUUUUCUAGAAACUCGUAUAUUACUAAAAAAAAUUCAAGAAAAGAAAGAAAAUGUUUGUUCAUAAUAAUGUAUUAUUAUAUUUUUGUCAAGAAGUUCUGAUUAGAUAAUUAAUGGUACAAAUUGCUAUUAUAUACACGUGAAUGCUUAGAUAGGUUUCUUGUCGGAGCCUGCUUUGGGUUUUACGAAAUAAAAAAUUUGCUACUCCAAAUUAUAUUUAGACGGGUUUGAGUAAAUAUUAUUCAUAGUCGACGGGACUGUUCGUUUAUGUAAUUACCUUGUUCUUACGAAAGGCGGCAGAAAACAUUUCAUUGUUAACUAGAAUUUAAUCAGUGAAAUAAAAUAAUAAUAAAAGUUGGAAAAUGCAAAAUAACACCUUUAACAAAAAGUCGGAGAAUAUAUUGAUUCUACAAAAUAGUUUAGAAUAAAUGUAUGGUCAGAGAAUAUUUUAAAAUAAGACGUAAUAGUUCGGUCAAAAAGAAAAACUUAAUAUAACCAAAAAGAUAGCAGUAACAUGACCUAUUGAUACAUGUAGUCCAACUAUUUUAAUAUAAUUAUUAAAAAAAAUUUAUUAUUAAUUAAAAAAAAAUAUUAUACAAAAACACAAAUAUUAUACAAAAAACACAACUACGAUAACAUCUACUUUUGUUUUAAAAUGUAGUAAGGGCUCAUUCUCAGCAAGUGUGACAACUGACAAUAUUCAUUGGCCGCAAAUGUCCAAUGGUGACCUGCCAUUGCCAUCGUUUGUGAGAUUCGUAGAUUCCCAUCUACAGUGAAAAUACUUAAAACUAUUCAGUUGUAGGACAUUAAAGUGUAAUAUGCUGCACGACAGACAAUACAAUUGUAUAGUGUCAAGGUUUAAUUAUUACGCUAGAUUUUGAUCCGCACUUGGAAAACGCGGAUUAUUCUUUAGAUUGUAAACAAAAUUUGUGAAUUAGUAUUUUAGAAUUGUUGUAUAUUAUUAUGAUACAAAGUCAUAUUAUAUCGGAAAAAAAUUGUUUAAAAUUAUAUAAUUUAUCAAUUAGUUUAUUUAAUUUUUUGUAUAUACAUUUUUAUGUAACUCUUUCUUAGGCAUGGACAUUGUAUUGGACCUGGAAAACCAAACCAAAAUCAACCCAAAAAUAUAGGUGCGAUUUGGGUAUGGGUCCAUGGAAAAGUACACUAUAUUUUUUGGACCCUCGGCUCUCUGUUCGAGUCUUGGUCCUACCAGAGACUCAAUCGGGUACCCUAAGUACCUGACAUGUUUUGUUUAUAUUAGAUAUAUUUGGAUAUUUCAGUUAUGUUUUUGGUAUUUCAAAUUCUUGGGUUUGUGUUUUCGAUUAUAGUUUUGAGUUUUAGGUUAAAUUUCAAUUUUUUUUUAAAUAUACUUCCGGUAUUCUGGAAAAAAAUUGGGUAUUUUUUGGUUCAUCACGUCAGAUUUCAGGGUCUUUUUGGGUAUUUGAAUAUAUUUUUAGUAUUUGUUUGGGCUUUCAAGUAUUUUUUUCGUGUUCUGGUAUUUUUUGGGAUUUUCGGGUAAAAAAUUCUUUUUGUGUCCUAAAUACUCAAACCAAUCCGGAUCCGUUUCAUAUCCAAAAGUUAUUGGUAUUUUACAGGUAUUUGAAUUAUGGACACGAAUCGACUUGAACCCGAAAAACCCAGGUUGGACCCGAAAAACCCGACAUGAACCCGGAACACUUGACCAGAACACAAACCAAAAAUUUUCAAAGACCUAGUUAUGUCCAAAUGUUUAAGACCCGAAAAAUCCGGACCCAAAAAUAUAUGAUCCGCGAAGACCCGAAUGCCCAAACUUACUCUUUCUCAUUAUUUUUUGUGUGGAUUUUAUAAGAGCUAUAUUUGUUGAACAUGUAAAACUUAAGAUUUACUUAGAAGAUUUUGAUUUAUUUAAUAGUCUACAUUUUGUAAGGUUUUUAAGAGUUUCUAAACUUAUCUUAAAUAACAUAUUUUAUUAUAAAUUAUUUUAUAAAAAAAAUUGAAGUAAAAUAUGUAAUUUUGUUGUUAACAUAUGAUUUGAUAAAGUGUUUUAUUAAAUUUAAUUUUGUAAAUAUUUUGAACUAUAUAAUGUAAGAUGACAUAAUAUUAUAUGAUGUAUGAUAUGUGCUAACUCGUAAAUAAAUUUCAAAAUAUAUUAAAGUUAAUAAAGUUAGUGGAUUUAAAUAGCAUAUCUACAUUAUUCCUUUUUGCUUAAAAUAUGUUGUAACAAUAUAUGCUAUAUACUCGUUUUAAAAAAUAAGGUAAAAAUAUAAGAAUAAUCAAUUAUGAUUUCUUUUAAAUUUAGAUGCCUUUAAAAAUAAGGUAUAUUCUUAGCAAAUAUACGAAAAAAAAAAUUAGGAUUGAUUUAUUUUGAUAUCUUGGUUGUUACAAAUUAACAACAUGAUAAAAAUAUACAAAUACAAUUUCAAUCACUUUUGGAAAUUAUAUUAAAUGUUUUCAAUAUCUAUAUUUAAGUUUGUUAUAAUGUUGUGAUAGAUAUACUGACUCAUUUAAAUGAUAGAUAUUUAAACAUUAGUGAUUGCAUGGCUCACUAAAGCCUUGUUAUGGUGUAUAACAUUGGUUCUUCGAUUUUUUUAAUUUCCUAAACUGAGAAACUGCGAAAGAGUAGGCUGAGUGCAUUGGAGGCGAUUUUUUAAGAAUAUAGUAUCUUUUUGGUUUCGAGAUUCAUAUAUAACGUUUUUAUAAGAUGAAUUUAAGGAAUGACCGAGUGUUUCCCAAAAAAGAAUUGCUGAGAACAUUGUAUAUCACUUUUCACGGUAGAACACAAUUCUAUAAAUGUAGAUGGUGGGUUGCUAUUUCAGUUUUACAUGUAUAACGUUAUGUAUUUCAUUUGUUUACCACAUGAUACGUAGAGAAUCUAUACUAUUAAAAGAGAAUCAUUUUGAAAAAAUCUACUUAAACAAAGUUGUUGCAUCUUUCCAUUUUUAUAGUCCAACCUAUAACAUAAAACCAAAUAUUAUAAAUGACCUCUAUUAUAGCAACCAAAUAAACCCUCUUAACAUUUUUUAUAAAACCUAUAAUUGUUUAUUGUCCUUAAAUGUUAUAAUCAAAACCGACAACCUAUAACCUUUAAAUAUGUACAUACGUUUUCUCUAUAUAAAAUGUAUAGAAUGUAUAUAUAAAAUGUACAGCACCAUUCGAUAGAAACAUUUUAUAUAGAGAAAAUGUAUGUACAUAUUUAAAGGUUAUAGGUUGUCGAUUUUGAUUAUAACAUUUAAGGACAAUAAACAAUUAUAGGUUUUAUAAAAAAUGUUAAGAGGGUUUAUUUGGUUGCUAUAAUAGAGGUCAUUUAUAAUAUUUGGUUAUAUGUUAUAGGUUGGGCUAUAAAAAUGGAUAGAUGCAACAACCUUAUUUAAGUAGAUUUUUUCAAAAUGAUUUUUUUUUAAUAGUAUAGAUAGAUGCAUACCGCACGAGUUUAUAUACAUUAACUAUUCACAAACAAAUAUGAGUGGAAGACACAAACCGGAGACUGGAUUAAGGAAGUAGCAACACCUGCCUCCGUUACAUUAACCGCUGAAAAUACAAGAAAACUGUGAUAUCUAUCUGAAAUCUGGACAAUGGCUUUUACCAAAAGAAAAAAAAAGCUGAACAAUGGCAUAUCAAUACAUGUUUUUCACAUGUAUGCUACAUGUCAUGUUUUUCAUUAGUCUUUAAUCGCGCAUCUGUUUUCUUGCUCGUGUUCCUUGAUCUUUGAAUAUGGAAGGAAGUUAUAGAUUGCUCUCUUAUAUACAAAUCUACUUACUUAAUCAUAACUUCUAUCCAACUAACUUAUAGAGAGCAGUAAAAAAAAGGAUGAGUAAUUUGGCCUUAUCCAAUGAAAACAAUACUAGGCAAUUUGUGAUCAUGAAGCGCAAGCUUCUAGAAAUUUAAUCAUACUUUCCCCAGUGUUUUACUAAAUCUCUUUAGAAUUCAUUUUCUUAGUGGAUCAUCAGAAAUUGAAUACAAACUUAAGCCUAUAUAGAUUCAUUCUCACCAUCCACAUAAACGUUAUCACGUCAUCAUCCUAUCGAGUUCAUAUAUCUAGAGUCAGAAUCUUUCUAGCUAUAUCGUAUUGGUAUUUGAUAUGUAGCUACAUUAAAAAAUUUAACUAAAACAUAAGAGUAAACUUAUCAGUGGUUCAUGGUCAUAUUUACAUCAAUAUCUAAACUAGAAACCCUUUCGAACAACGAGAAGAAGAGGAAAAAUACCUCCGAGAAUCACCAAAAUCUAGAUUAGUUCGACAAUGGAGAACAGACGCCGAGAAAAAAGAGGGGAUGGGAGAGCAACCUACGGUCCGACGAGGUCGCAGGGAUCCGAAGAGCCUCCACCCAAAUCGCAGAUCUGGUUUUUAGUUGAUAGGAAAAAGAGACGUGGGUGUAUCGAUGUUCUAAUUUCUUGAAAGAGAAAGUAAAUCAAGAUUUUUUUUGGUUAACAAUAGAAGUCCCGGACCGUA
rnacentral:lncRNA from 1 species